GAUGAACGCUGGCGGCGUGCCUAAUACAUGCAAGUCGAGCGAACAGACGAGGAGCUUGCUCCUUUGACGUUAGCGGCGGACGGGUGAGUAACACGUGGGUAACCUACCUAUAAGACUGGGAUAACUUCGGAAAACCGGAGCUAAUACCGGAUAAUAUUUCGAACCGCAUGGUUCGAUAGUGAAAGAUGGCUCUGCUAUCACUUAUAGAUGGACCUGCGCCGUAUUAGCUAGUUGGUAAGGUAACGGCUUACCAAGGCAACGAUACGUAGCCGACCUGAGAGGGUGAUCGGCCACACUGGAACUGAGACACGGUCCAGACUCCUACGGGAGGCAGCAGUAGGGAAUCUUCCGCAAUGGGCGAAAGCCUGACGGAGCAACGCCGCGUGAGUGAUGAAGGUCUUCGGAUCGUAAAACUCUGUUAUUAGGGAAGAACAAACGUGUAAGUAACUGUGCACGUCUUGACGGUACCUAAUCAGAAAGCCACGGCUAACUACGUG
rnacentral:rRNA from 1 species